CUGGUAUAGCUCACUUGGUAGAGCAUGAGACUCUUAAUCUCAAGGUCAUGGGUUCAAGCCCCAAGUUGGGGAGGA